GCAGGGGUGGGUGAGUGGCUAAUACCACCAGACUGUAAAUCUGGCGCCUUUGGGCUACGGGGGUUCGAAUCCCUCCCCCUGCACCA
rnacentral:tRNA from 3 species